GAUGAACGCUGGCGGCGUGCCUAAUACAUGCAAGUCGAGCGAACAGACGAGGAGUUUGCGCCGCUGACGUUAGCGGCGGACGGGUGAGUAACACGUGGAUAACCUACCUAUAAGACUGGGAUAACUGCGGGAAAGCGGAUCUAAUACCGGAUAAUAUAUUGAACCGCAUGGUUCAAUAGGGAAAGACGGUUUGGCUGUCACUUAUAGAUGGAUCCGCGCUGCAUUAGCUAGUUGGUAAGGUAACGGCUUACCAAGGCGAGGAUGCGUAGCCGACCUGAGAGGGUGGUCGGCCACACUGGAACUGAGACACGGUCCAGACUCCUACGGGAGGCAGCAGUCGGGAAUGUUCCGCAACGGGCGAAAGCCUGACGGAGCAACGCCGCGUGAGUGAUGAAGGUCUUCGGAUCGUAAAGCUCUGUUAUUAGGGAAGAACACAUGUGUAAGUAAAUAUGCACGUCUUGACGGUACCUAAUCAGGAAGCAACGGCUAACUACGUG
rnacentral:rRNA from 1 species